UCCUGCCUCCCGCCCCAUUAUCCUUACGCCCUAUUCACUGCGGUCUCAGAUUCUGGGAGGUCUCGGGAGGCCCAGAAAUGGGAGAAGUCAGAUUGCGGGGUCGUGGGCCCCAAAGCCUAAAUCUUGCCCUUCCUACACCCAGAGCUAAGUGACCAUGCCCAGGCUUCAUUUGACCACAUGGACAAAGGAAAGCGCCCCCAAGAGAGACCAUCUCCCGAAGCAGAGGCUCUGGCUGUAAAUGGUGCUAGUGGCCGGCCUGGCAGGGGCCAGCUCUCCCCAGAGGCUCAGGAGCUUCUCCAGGAGGCAUCUCGCAGUCAGUCCCCAGCCCACACCAAGGCUGUGCCCUUCCACUCCUCUUGCUUUCCUCUUCCCACCACCCACUCACUCACUAGUCUUUGCCCUCUUCCUUCCUCUGGGAAACGGAACAGGCUCCUUUCCAUUAGUGAGAGCUGCAACUAAUGCAGUCAUCUUCAGAAAGCAAAGACAUAACCCCGUGCCCAGGAUCCGAACUGCGACCAUCACCCAGCAAUGACUGCUCCCCUUAAACACCGAGAAGGGAAUUCACUUGAUUCUAAUUAGGCCUAGAGAAGGCCUCCCCGAGGCCAGAAUCCCUGGGAAGUCUGCCCAGCAUCUAGUCUCUUAGGACUUCGUUGGCCUCCUCUGGGGAAGAACAUCAAUUCAGCCCAGCACCUGCUCCAGUGAGGGGCUGCAGCGAAGAAUGACGUGGGGUCCACGAGGCAGGCUUUUUGAUGGUGAGGCCGCAGCAGCAGCAUCAGCAUCAGCAGCAGCAGCAGCAAGACAUCCUGGAGCUCCAUAUUCAGUAUGGCAAGAGGCAACGGGCGUGAGGGAAGCAGUCCCGAACAGAAAUGCAGGAGCAGCGGUAACAGCAGCAGCCGCUGCCUGCGAGCAUCAGGCAGGGGAGUGAGACAGUGGGCACUCAAAUCCGUUUCCUCCAUCUCUCAGCCACACAGCCCAAGCGAGGCUGUGUGAGAACUUCUCAGUGCACAUUGUAAAUACCAUCUGUCACACUGCCUGCCCAGAUGCGGCCUUCCUCCCUGCAAAGGAAGCAUUCUUUAUUAUUUAUGCAGAAUGCACCCUACUUAAGUGUUGCACCACCAGCAGAGAGAAGACAAAGCCUGGAAGAGUCAAGGACUCCAGGGAUCUGCUUUUCGGAUAGCAGCCGGUUGGGAGGGGCUUGGUCAUCCAUCUUUCUGGGGUGGGAGGUUCAUUCAGUCGGGCAAGGGCACUUCCCUAGGAAUUAGGAGGCCUGCGUUCUCAGCUUAGUUCUCUCACCAGCUUGCUGUGUGACCUUGGGCAGACACCUCACCCCCAUGGGCCUCCAUUUUUUUUUUCCAUCUGUAAAUGCAGGGGUCAGACUAGAUGAUCUAUGACAUCCCUUCCAGCUCUAAAUUCAAUUGGUGUCCCUCUAACCCUUCUCCAUCCUGUGCGGGCCCAGAAGCCUGUUCAUUACCGUCAGCUCUCCUUCCCAGCUGGCAGGGGAAAUACAGUUCAGGAUCUGAUUUCUUUUUCUUUUUCUUUUUCUUUUUUGAGACAGAGUUUUGCUCUUGUUGCCCAGGUGCUGGAGUGU